AGGGCACCACAAGGAGUGGAGAAUGCGGCUUAAUUUGACUCAACACGGGAAAACUCACCAGGUCCGAACACAGUAAGGAGUGACGGAUUGAUAGCUCUUUCAUGAUUCUGUGGGUGGUGGUGCAUGGCCGUCCUUAGUUCGUGGAGUGAUUUGUCUGCUCGACUGCGAUAACGAACGAGACUCUUAUGGGAUGUUAUGACUGUCGAGGCCUUGAGGGGAAACAGGUUCACUCUUGCAGUAGCCUCGAGCACCCUCGUCUUAGUCAGAAUUCUCUUACAAACCACAUAAAAGUGGUACGAGAAAGAGCAAUAACAGGUCUGUGAUGCCCUUAGAUGUUCUGGGCUGCACGCGCUCUACAAUGAGUGUGAUAACGAGUUAUUUUGAAAGUCUCGUGGGUAACUGCUUGACUACUCCCGCCUGGAAAAAGGUAGGAAAUCUCUGAAACAAACUCGUACCGGGGAUAGUGCCUUGUAAUUGUGGUGCUUGAACGAGGAAUCCCUUGUAGUCGAAAGUCACUAG
rnacentral:rRNA from 1 species